UACGUAGGGGGCAAGCGUUGUCCGGAAUUAUUGGGCGUAAAGAGCGUGUAGGCGGCCAGAUAAGUCCGCUGUGAAAUCUCGAGGCUCAACUUCGAGCUGUCGGUGGAAACUAUCUGGCUAGAGUCCGGAAGAGGAGAAUGGAAUUCCUGGUGUAGCGGUGAAAUGCGCAGAUAUCAGGAGGAACACCGGUGGCGAAGGCGGAUCUCUGGGCCUGUCCUGACGCUCAGGCGCGAAAGCCAGGGGAGCAAACGGG
rnacentral:rRNA from 1 species